UACAGAGGGUGCGAGCGUUAAUCGGAGUUACUGGGCGUAAAGGGCGCGUAGGCGGUUAUUUAAGUGAGAUGUGAAAUCCCUGGGCUUAACCUAGGAACGGCAUCUCAUACUGGAUGACUGGAGUAUUGUAGAGGGUAGUGGAAUUUCCGGUGUAGCGGUGAAAUGCGUAGAGAUCGGAAGGAACACCAGUGGCGAAGGCGGCUACCUGGACAAAUACUGACGCUGAGGCGCGAAAGCGUGGGGAGCAAACAGG
rnacentral:rRNA from 1 species